rnacentral:lncRNA from 1 species
AAUGCCUGCUGCUUCUCCAAGCCUUCAUGGAAGGCGAUUUCUUUCCAGCGCAUCUCCAGAGAUGGCUAGGCCCUGCUCUCCCUGGACACCCUGCUCUGUCCCAUCCUGAGGACAGUGCCUAGAGCAGACUGGCCCAUGUCGUGUCCUUUCCCAAAGUCCAGAGGCAAGGAGACAGGCACUGACAGACAUUUGAGCCAGAUAAAUAGGAGAGGCCCAGGGUUCUACUGGCUACACAAAGAGCAGACAGAGUUCAGAGAGGGAGUGCACAUCUAUGACCAGGAGUCCAGGAAAGAGUAAUGGAAGAAGAGAUAUCAGAGCUCAACUCAGUCCUUAAGGGUCCCGUGGAGUCAGGAGAACUAGGGAGGGAAAUGUGAUCCCUCCUCACCCCCACCCCAAGCUGCCUGACCCUGCUGCACUGCCAGGUGCCUGAGAGUCCAUCUGCAAACAGCGCAGUCACCUACACCUUGCAAAGCAGAAUGGGCACUGACGGGAGUUCAGAGAGAGGUCUACUUCUCCCCGGAGUGGUUAAAGAAGUGGGGAGCCUAAAGUCUUCCAGUUGACCCUUGCAAUGCCAUUCUCUUUUGGAGAGCCCACACCUGGCAGUUCCUGUGUGUGAAUCCCAAGCAAUCCACACGUUCAGGUUUGAUUUGCCCUGUGGAGAAGCUUGGAGACCUCAGAGUGGAGGCAGUGAUGCCAAUGUCUACUUGAGUCAAGGAAGAUGGCAGCCAAAGAUUUCCAGCCACGAGCAAUGCUUCCUCCAAGAUGACCAGGCUGGGCUUUAUCCCGAGCUCCGUUCAAACCACACAGACAGCAAGCAGGGGUGCGGAGAUGCAGUCCGCUGAGCUGGCCCUGGGGCCAGGCACCCUUCUGGAGGAGUCGGACAAGCCCCACAGUGAAGAAACUACCAGCCAGGGCUCUAGUCCCUGGGACCGAUCCCCACCCGUGCUGUCCGGUCCAUUUUGGCUUACUUUGCAGACAUGGUCACAGACGUACUAAGCCUUUCAAGGUGGCUUGGUAAGAAGAGUAGGCUUGGAUUGUACGGAAUCAGAGUGAGGGGUGGUGGCCCAGGUGAAAGGCUGGCUCCCAAAAAGAUGGGAAGUUUGAGUCUGUUUUCCACUGCCAAGAGUUUUGGAAACCUUGGGUUCAUCUAAGCCAGCACCCUGGAGAGAUGCCAGCACAGAGACUCUGGACCUUACAGGGGGUCCAGGACCUUACAGGACCCGACCCUGCAGGAGCCAGAGCCUUUCCCUGGGGUCCAAAAGAAGCUGAGGGAGAGGCACGGGUCCCUCAUCUGUGCCUGCGCCUGCGCACGUCAUUCUUGUCCCGCUCAUGGUCCAAAAGGCUCUGCAGCAAAGAUUCAUCUGUUUCAAUUUUCAUGGAAAUGAAGCAUUUUAUCUCAGAAC